GCUUUUGUGUCCUAGUGGUUAGAGAGUCUGCCUCAGAUGCUAAAGGCCGCGGUUUCGAACCACGGCCAAGUCGCA